GGUUAAGCGACUAAGCGUACACGGUGGAUGCCCUGGCAGUCAGAGGCGAUGAAGGACGUGCUAAUCUGCGAAAAGCGUCGGUAAGGUGAUAUGAACCGUUAUAACCGGCGAUGUCCGAAUGGGGAAACCCAGUGCAAUUCGUUGCACUAUCGUUAACUGAAUACAUAGGUUAACGAGGCGAACCGGGGGAACUGAAACAUCUAAGUACCCCGAGGAAAAGAAAUCAACCGAGAUUCCCCCAGUAGCGGCGAGCGAACGGGGAGCAGCCCAGAGUCUGAAUCAGCUUGUGUGUUAGUGGAACGGUCUGGAAAGUCCGACGGUACAGGGUGAUAGUCCCGUACACCAAAAUGCACAGGCUGUGAACUCGAAGAGUAGGGCGGGACACGUGGUAUCCUGUCUGAAUAUGGGGGGACCAUCCUCCAAGGCUAAAUACUCCUGACUGACCGAUAGUGAACCAGUACCGUGAGGGAAAGGCGAAAAGAACCCCGGCGAGGGGAGUGAAAAAGAACCUGAAACCGUGUACGUACAAGCAGUGGGAGCACCUUCGGGUGUGACUGCGUACCUUUUGUAUAAUGGGUCAGCGACUUAUAUUCUGUAGCAAGGUUAACCGUAUAGGGGAGCCGCAGGGAAACCGAGUCUUAACUGGGCGUUAAGUUGCAGGGUAUAGACCCGAAACCCGGUGAUCUAGCCAUGGGCAGGUUGAAGGUUGGGUAACACUAACUGGAGGACCGAACCGACUAAUGUUGAAAAAUUAGCGGAUGACUUGUGGCUGGGGGUGAAAGGCCAAUCAAACCGGGAGAUAGCUGGUUCUCCCCGAAAGCUAUUUAGGUAGCGCCUCGUGAAUUCAUCUUCGGGGGUAGAGCACUGUUUCGGCUAGGGGGUCAUCCCGACUUACCAACCCGAUGCAAACUACGAAUACCGAAGAAUGUUAUCACGGGAGACACACGGCGGGUGCUAACGUCCGUCGUGAAGAGGGAAACAACCCAGACCGCCAGCUAAGGUCCCAAAGUCAUGGUUAAGUGGGAAACGAUGUGGGAAGGCACAGACAGCCAGGAUGUUGGCUUAGAAGCAGCCAUCAUUUAAAGAAAGCGUAAUAGCUCACUGGUCGAGUCGGCCUGCGCGGAAGAUGUAACGGGGCUAAACCAUGCACCGAAGCUGCGGCAGCGACACUAUGUGUUGUUGGGUAGGGGAGCGUUCUGUAAGCCUGCGAAGGUGUGCUGUGAGGCAUGCUGGAGGUAUCAGAAGUGCGAAUGCUGACAUAAGUAACGAUAAAGCGGGUGAAAAGCCCGCUCGCCGGAAGACCAAGGGUUCCUGUCCAACGUUAAUCGGGGCAGGGUGAGUCGACCCCUAAGGCGAGGCCGAAAGGCGUAGUCGAUGGGAAACAGGUUAAUAUUCCUGUACUUGGUGUUACUGCGAAGGGGGGACGGAGAAGGCUAUGUUAGCCGGGCGACGGUUGUCCCGGUUUAAGCAUGUAGGCUGGUUGUCCAGGCAAAUCCGGAUAAUCAAGGCUGAGGUGUGAUGACGAGGCACUACGGUGCUGAAGUAACAAAUGCCCUGCUUCCAGGAAAAGCCUCUAAGCAUCAGGUAACAUUAAAUCGUACCCCAAACCGACACAGGUGGUCAGGUAGAGAAUACCAAGGCGCUUGAGAGAACUCGGGUGAAGGAACUAGGCAAAAUGGUGCCGUAACUUCGGGAGAAGGCACGCUGGUGUGUAGGUGAAGUCCCUGCGGAUGGAGCUGAGACCAGUCGAAGAUACCAGCUGGCUGCAACUGUUUAUUAAAAACACAGCACUGUGCAAACACGAAAGUGGACGUAUACGGUGUGACGCCUGCCCGGUGCCGGAAGGUUAAUUGAUGGGGUUAUCCGUAAGGAGAAGCUCUUGAUCGAAGCCCCGGUAAACGGCGGCCGUAACUAUAACGGUCCUAAGGUAGCGAAAUUCCUUGUCGGGUAAGUUCCGACCUGCACGAAUGGCGUAAUGAUGGCCAGGCUGUCUCCACCCGAGACUCAGUGAAAUUGAACUCGCUGUGAAGAUGCAGUGUACCCGCGGCAAGACGGAAAGACCCCGUGAACCUUUACUAUAGCUUGACACUGAACAUUGAGCCUUGAUGUGUAGGAUAGGUGGGAGGCUUUGAAGCGUGGACGCCAGUCUGCGUGGAGCCAACCUUGAAAUACCACCCUUUAAUGUUUGAUGUUCUAACGUUGGCCCCUUACCGGGGUUGCGGACAGUGUCUGGUGGGUAGUUUGACUGGGGCGGUCUCCUCCCAAAGCGUAACGGAGGAGCACGAAGGUUAGCUAAUCCUGGUCGGACAUCAGGAGGUUAGUGCAAUGGCAUAAGCUAGCUUGACUGCGAGCGUGACGGCGCGAGCAGGUGCGAAAGCAGGUCAUAGUGAUCCGGUGGUUCUGAAUGGAAGGGCCAUCGCUCAACGGAUAAAAGGUACUCCGGGGAUAACAGGCUGAUACCGCCCAAGAGUUCAUAUCGACGGCGGUGUUUGGCACCUCGAUGUCGGCUCAUCACAUCCUGGGGCUGAAGUAGGUCCCAAGGGUAUGGCUGUUCGCCAUUUAAAGUGGUACGCGAGCUGGGUUUAGAACGUCGUGAGACAGUUCGGUCCCUAUCUGCCGUGGGCGCUGGAGAAUUGAGGGGGGCUGCUCCUAGUACGAGAGGACCGGAGUGGACGCAUCACUGGUGUUCGGGUUGUCAUGCCAAUGGCACUGCCCGGUAGCUAAAUGCGGAAGAGAUAAGUGCUGAAAGCAUCUAAGCACGAAACUUGCCCCGAGAUGAGUUCUCCCUGAGACUUUAAGUCUCCUGAAGGAACGUU
rnacentral:rRNA from 1 species